GAGUCUGUAGUUCAAAAAGUAGAACGAGGUGCUCAUAACACCCUCGGUGCAGGUGCAACUCCUGUCAGGCUCA
rnacentral:tRNA from 1 species